ACAGAUUGCAGUGGAAUUUCUGGUGUCUUAUGCUACUGUAAAGUGUUCUGGGAUAUCUUCAGUGAAGCAGGAAAUGCUAAUGAAUUUGAGAGGCCCCAAAAAAGUUUUAAAAUAAAGUGUGGCACCUCAAAAUGUUAAAGAUAAUGGACACUAAAAAACUGAUUGGUAAAUCCCUUCAGCCAGCAAGACCUGCACGCCACCUGUCUUCACAGCAUGCCUCAACAGUUACUUUCAACUUCCAAACUGAAUUUCCAUGCAGCACUCAAGUGUGUUUACAUAGCGAAGUUAGCUGGGUA